GGUCUUAGUAUUAUUAUUAUAUUCCUUUUUCUUUCCCUUUAAUGGUAUUUUGAAAAAUGAAAUAGAAAAAGAGAGAGCUUUUCGCGUGCAGACCCCUCUCCAAACUUCCUCUCUCGUUCUUCAACCGGUCACCGUGGUCACCGCGCCACCACCAGCCGACCACCUCGUGCUUGCUCGUUCCGCCGCCAAUCGUCAAGCCCGGCCGUCGUCGGCUUUUCGUCGUGCGCCAGCCCGUUUGCGGCUGUUUGAGCUCCAGCCACCACAUCUGUUGAGCCACACACCGACCAGCCGCAGCCCAGCCAUCAGGCACCACGCCGGUUGCUGCUCCGUAUCCCGCUGCGCCACCCUCUUCCACCGCUAGCCUCGCCAAAUCUGGAAGUUGAGAUUGAAGAGUAGCGUUGCCGUUUAGUUGCUGUCCAGCGGGUUCGAUUGGGUUUUCCUCAAGAUUUUGGUAAUUAAUUAAGGUGAUUUCCCUAAGGCUACAUGAAUGUGUUUCUGUAGCGCCACUUAUGGUUGUCAGGGGGUUCUGGAGUUGAAAAAGGCCGUGAUUGGAGAUUCGAGAAUCUGAGCCUAGGUGAGGAUAUGGAUGGAGGAUUGUAAUUUGGCUUCAAGCCUAGCUUAACUCAUGGUGGGUGGCUCUAUGUGCACAUAGGAACGUGGAUAUGAAGGUUGCUACUGUGGUGGGUACUAGGAAUGUGUGAGCUAAGUUUGGCCGCGUGUUUCCUUGUGAAUAUGGAUCACAUGUUUUAAUGCUAAACCUUCUCUGAAUGAGAGAGCUAACAUGGAAUAACCCAAUGCACAUAUGGAACAGGAGCUUCAGCGUUACUAAAUGGAACUUGAAUUUCUCAUCUCCACUCCAAUGGCGCUUUUCAAAAUUACGGUUGCCAAUCCAAGCCUUUCCAAGUCCGUCAAAUUCACUAAUUCUUUUGCCGCUGCUUUGCAUAUCUUUAGCAAAAAUCUGUCCUAUGGUUUCUCAACGUUAUAGAUCCGUUUGUACUGAAGUAAUCAAUAUUCUUCCUUCUCCGGAUGAAACCUGUAUCAGUAAUAACUUCAUUUCCCUCCUUAGCCAACAAAAAUUUUCCCUUGAUGACCCUGAGCUGAAAAAUUUAGCUUCAAGUCUCAACCCUCGAAUUGUUGAAACUGUCUUGAAUGGCUUGAGGCGGUGGGAGAUUGCUCAUAUGUUCUUCACUUGGGCCUCAAAACAACAGGGGUAUAGACAUAAUUGUUAUACUUUCAAUGCCAUUGCAUCAGUCCUAUCACAUGCUCGAAAAAAAGCCCCACUGCGAGCCGUUGCUAGGGAUGUCCUUACCUCUCGUUGUUUGAUGACCCCUGGAGCUUUGGGAGUCUUUUUAAGAUGUUUGGGAAGCGUGGGGUUGGUUGAGGAAGCUAACUAUUUAUUUGACCAGGUUAGAUCAAUGGGUUUGUGUGUCCCAAAUAGUUAUAGUUAUAACUGUUUGUUGGAAAUUUUGUCCAAGGUAAAUGCUAUUGAUUCCAUUGAGAAUAGGUUGAUAGAGAUGAAAUAUUUCGGGUGGGAAGUGGACAAGUACACAUUGACACCAGUUUUGAAGGCUUAUUGCAAUGCUGGCAAGUUUGACAAAGCUCUAAUUGUGUUUAAUGAUAUGCAUGAGAGAGGGUGCGUUGAUGGGUAUGUCUUUUCGAUCUUGGCAUUAGCUUUUAGCAAGUGGGGUGAGGUAGAUAGAGCAAUGCAACUCAUAGAUAGAAUGGGAGAUCAAAAUCUUGUGUUAGGUGAAAAGACAUUCUAUGCUUUGAUUCAUGGUUUUGUGAAGAAAUCCAGGGAGGAUAUGGCUCUUAAGUUGCUUGAGAAAAUGUUGAAACAGGGUUUUACUCCUGAUAUUUCAAUCUAUGAUGUGCUAAUAGGAGGACUUUGUAAGAAGAGGGCAUUUGAGAAAGCAAUGGCUUUGUUUUUGAAGAUGAAGAUGUUUGGAAUUAAGCCUGAUGUUGGGAUACUUGCAAACCUGGUAGCAUCUUCUCCUGAAGAAAGAGUUGUGAUCAUGUUACUUGGGGAAAGACCAAUAGAUAUAAAUUAUGAAGGUAUGAUCUUGCUUUUCAAUAGUGUGCUGAAAUUUCUUGUUAAUGCUGGAAAAGUAGCGAGUACUUGUUAUUUGCUUCGUCUUAUGAUGGGAAAUGAAUCUCAUAGAGAUGAUAUUCACCUUUUGGAGAUCCACCAAACUUUUAAGAAGGUACUUCCUAAUACUGCCUCGUUCAAUAUCGUAAUUGAUGGUUUGCUAAAGACAACAAGUAAGUUGUGUCAGGAUGCCGCAUUAAACCUCUUUGAAGAUAUGGUUCAACUUGGUUGUGAACGAAACCAAUUACUUUAUAACAAUAUGAUAGAUGCACUGUGUAAAUCGGAUAGAUUGGAGGAAAGUUAUAAGCUUUUGAGAGACAUGGAGCAAUCAAGACUUCAACCGACACAUUUUACAUAUAAUUCAAUAUUUGGGUGCCUAUGUAGGAGAGAGGAUACUGUAGGAGCCAUUGAAUUAUUGAGGGAGAUGCGGGUUCAUGGGCACGAGCCAUGGCUAAAACAUUCUACACUCCUCGUGAAACAGCUGUGUAAGAACGGGCGAGUUAUUAAAGCUUCUAAUUUUCUUGCUGAUAUGGUUUGUGAAGGCUUCUUGCCUGAUAUAGUUGCCUACUCUGCUGCUAUGGCUGGCCUAGUCAAGAUUAAUGAAGUGGAUCGUGCUUUUGAGAUGUUUCAAGACAUUUGUACUCGUGGUUAUUGUCCGGAUGUGGUUUCUCAUAAUGUAUUGAUGAAAGGCUUUUGUAAAGCUGGAAAAGUUGAUGAAGCCUACAAUUUUCUAAACAAAAUGAUAGUGGCAGGGCUUGUUCCUUCGGUUGUUAGCUAUAAUCUUCUUAUUGAUGGAUGGUGCAAAAAUGGUGAUAUUGAUAAGGCCAUCCUUUGUCUUUCCAAAAUGAAUGAAGAGAAUAGGGAACCAACCAUCAUCACUUACACGACUUUGAUUGAUGGAUGUUGCAAUUCUGGAAGGCCUGACGAUGCCAAAAUACUUUGGAAUGAAAUGCAGCAAAAAGGUUGCUCCCCAAACAGGAUCGCUUACAUGGCAAUUGUGCACGGUCUUUGCAAGUGUGGAAAGCCUGAUGAAGCUCUAGUUUAUUACCAUAGGAUGGAAGAAAAGGAAAUGAAACCUGACAGUUAUGUCUCUGUUGCACUGAUUGAUGCUUUCAUAUCAAAACACAACUUUUCCAUGGCUUUUCACGUAUUAAAGGAGACAAUUGAGAAAGGAAACAUUCCCAAUCCAACCGACAAGAACUAUGCAACCAUAAGAGAUGCAAUCUUUAAAUUAUCUGAAGAUGAACAAACUGGCUUGGGAGUCAAAUCUCUUAUCGAGAAGGGCCACAUUCCAACAAUUGGUGUUUCAUGUCUGAGCAGCUGAAGUUGAAGUUUUUCUGUUAACUUAUCAAAGGGAAUUGGAUGAAAUUUUUUAUUGCAAAGCCCAAUGGACAUGUUGAUACAUUUGAAAGCCAGGCCAGUUUGACACGUCUAUCCUUAUUCUGAGGAUCAAUUUUCUAAAUUUCAGGCUGCCUUCAUUCAGUUGUGGAAUUGCUGGUUUAAUCGUCCUUGAAUGGGUGGAUUCCUUUGGAACAAAGCUCCCGCCACUGCAAGCCGGCGGCUCCAGCUCCCUCCACUAGUGCAAGUUUGACUCUGCCCCAAGUUUCACUGCUAGUGACUCUUCAUCAGCCGAAUUUGACUCUGCAAGUUCGAGAUCCACCGCCCGUAUCUCAACCUCAAGCUCUAUCGCAUGAGAUCUGCUGCCCACAUGACGCCGCCCCAAGCUCCACCACAACGUGACUUCGCGCAAGCUCCGUCGACGACUCCAGAUCUGCUGCUAAAUUGAACCAGAAGGAUUUGAGCAAUUGGGCAUCUCCAUCAUAUGGGGUAAACAAAUGGACGUUUUGUGGGUCAGCUUUGUCUGCUGAAGAAAGGAUGAGAAUGGUGCAUGUACUCGGACAUACGAAGUCCUUAUGGGGAUAUUGAAUGGAAUAUGGAUUCUGAAAAACUUGAGCAGUUGGAGAACCAGUUGGCUCACUCCUGCUUUGGGCCAUUUGAUAGUUCCUUAUUCGGAAGGAGUGUCGUUCAAAUUCGGUAUUUUCUGUCGAUGACUAAUUGAAAAUUCUGUCAUUUUCUUUCAUUUGGUCUGGAGUCUCUUGAUCAUUUGAGCUUGUGGAGACAGGCUUACUGUUAUUGGUGGACCAAGGGCAAUAGGGGAAGGUUAUAUAGAACUCAAUUCAUGGGUUCCAAGUGAAAGACCUCCAAGAUGGGAUUUCCUUGCCAGGAGACCAUCUGUAAAUUUUGUGUAUAACUGUGCUGUGAUGGGAUGCUGAAACUUAAAAGAAAAAAAAAAAAAAAGUAAAAACCAAAGUGUUUGUGCUGUGCUCUCCAUUGAUGGUGGUCUCACACUUCCAACUUCCAAGAUGAAUUGAAGAUGGGUUUGUUUUCUUUCUUCUUCUACUCAUGAUUUUAGUUGAUGAGUUAUUUUCCAUAUUUGUAGUUCUGUUUUUUAUUGUAGAUAUUUUUUAGGGUUUCUAUUUUGCACUAGUUGGAUUUGUGGCUUUUUGUAUGGUCUGAAACUUCUACUUCGACUCAGAGGGAAGAAACCCUACAACUGCAGUUGGGGGCGAUGGGUUCCUUUUCCUUUGCUCGAGCUAUUUACUGCUACGUGGGUUGACUCAUUUGUUAUGAUAAGCUCUUCUUUGAUCUUGAAUUGAUGAUGAAGGAUCAAAGAUAUGCACACGUAAACGUGUUUCAUGAGCCGUUGAUGAGUCGGGUGGAAGUUGAGCAUUAAUGACCCUAAAACACUUUGAUGUAUUUGAGGUUUAUGAGUUCAUUUUAACUUGACACAUUGUUUGUUGUAUUUUGGUUGAGGUUGUGGAAUCCAAGUUUAUAUUUGGAAGCAUAGAUCAUUCAAGGCCAUUGAGUUUCGAGCUUAUUUAAGUUUGUGCCUCUUGUACUAUUAUAUUUUAAUUGUUAGAACCCUUUUGUAGUAAUAGAACUUUUAGAAGCAAUGAGAGAUUUAUAAUAGUUUGAGGGUUAUAAUAGUUUGC